rnacentral:lncRNA from 1 species
GUAGUCUCUUUAAGUUUCUUGGGCAUAAACAUCUGAAUGUCUUCUGCGAUCUUGGGCUUGAGCUCACCAAUGAACGUGCCAACUAGAGCUUUUUGGGUCCAACUCAGUACUCGAUUAUCCAAUUUCUUAAAUUUCUUAUGAUACUCAUGUAAUGGGCCAGAUUGCUUCACAUAUGAUAGGGCCUCAUCGAAGCCCUCACAAUCUGUCGACCCAAAUUAAGCCAAAAGCUCUUCUUGAAAAAUGGCCCAAGUGAUCUCUCUUUUUUGUAGGUAUGGUGAAGCCUUUGCCACCACUAGUUGGCUUCACCUAUUAGAUAAAAAGAGGUCAAGGAGACCUUCUUGUUGUC